GACGAACGCUGGCGGCGUGCUUAACACAUGCAAGUCGAACGGAAAGGCCCUGCUUUUGUGGGGUGCUCGAGUGGCGAACGGGUGAGUAACACGUGAGUAACCUGCCCUUGACUUUGGGAUAACUUCAGGAAACUGGGGCUAAUACCGGAUAGGAGCUCCUGCUGCAUGGUGGGGGUUGGAAAGUUUCGGCGGUUGGGGAUGGACUCGCGGCUUUUCAGCUUGUUGGUGGGGUAGUGGCUUACCAAGGCUUUGACGGGUAGCCGGCCUGACAGGGUGACCGGCCACAUUGGGACUGAGAUACGGCCCAGACUCCUACGGGAGGCAGCAGUGGGAAAUAGUGAACAAGGGGCGGAAGCCUGGUGCAGCAACGCCGCGUGGGGGACAACGGCCCUCGGGUUGUAACCCGCUUUCUCCUGUGACGAACCGUGAGUGACGGUAAUGGGUAAAGAAGCACGGGAUAACCAGUUG
rnacentral:rRNA from 1 species